CGCCGCGGCGAGGGAAGGUCGGGGUUACAUCCGGGGCUCGUAAAAAGGGACAAGCAGCGCGAGGCGUAAGCGCGAGCACAGCAGCAGCAGCAGGCAGCAGCAGCAGCAGCUCGCCGUGAUAUCGCGCGUUUCUUCGCAAACGCUCGUAAAGAUAUCGCGCCACUCAAGAAGACUUCCGUCCGAGAUAUGGAGUAGCACGAUUUCGGCGUGAAGCGAACAGAAGCGUUUGACGCACACAGCGCGUAUACAUCUCACGGGAAGUUAACUCCGCGUAGUUUACGUGCGCAGCAAGCUCCUUCUGGUAUCUAUCUUUCCCGACGAAUCUGAACAUCUAAACUUGGCCUUCGAGCUCUCCUUCUGGAUGGAGUUUAUUAACGGUGCAACGUGCAGAGAGCGUGCGCGAGAGUCGGAAAGGAAGAGAGAGAGAGAGAGAGAGAGAGAGAGAGAGAGAGAGAGAGAGCGAGCCUAAGUCGCGCGAAAGCACCGAUAACCGGAACUAUUUGUUAGAGCCCCCGGGUGUGUGAUACGCACAUUCGCGCCCGACAACAUGUACUUCGGGGCCUUUAUGCGAAUAUAAAGCACGCUUUCACGCAUUUCGAACGCCACGUUCUGCCGCGUGCCGUAAUAUAUAGGGUGUUUCGAGCUCUCGUCGCUUCGUAACGUAUUACAGCGAACAAAAUCAAAAUCAUAGAAAUCCGAUAUAAAAAAAAAAAUAAGAAGUUUAUUGAAGUUACAAAAUCUUGCUUUUUAAAACAUACUUCACAAUAAAAUUAGAAUUAAUAGAUUCUGUUGCGGUAAUCUAAUUAAAGAUAUCGCCACAGCAUUUAAUAGUAAAAAUUCAAAUUUGGUAUGAUAUAAAUUUUCAUAAAGAGGGGGGGGCGAUAUGUAGCUGCGAGGAAAGGCGAUGGAAGCUGUAAUAUUCCAUAUUUAUUCUUGAGAUGCGGGGAGGGAUACACGUGUGGCGCGGCUUGUACACCUUUUUCACGCGGCGGGAUUACGGGAUACUCGGCAAACAGCCUGUGUCUCGGUAAAAAGUGCGGAAGAUAUUCUCAAUAUCGCGCGCUCGAGUCUUUGCGGCUGAAAAACAGUCUUUCUUCCCUUCGGGUAUCCGCGCCUCCGCGCUAUGCGAAACUGCGCUGUUACCCGAGUGGCGCAGCGAUUCCCAGAAUACACGCGUAAGAUCGGAUUUACCAAAGCCUGCGUGAAAGCGGCACGUUUGGUGUACGCGGUGCUCCGUUAAAUUUUCGUCAAGCCGCGGAUGUAUUCUUUGAUCAAUUUGACGUCGGCUUUUCCGUUUCGCGACAGUUUAAACGAAAAUGUAAUUAUUAACUUAAUUAUUCUUGAAAAUUACGGGAUCUUAAAUUGUUCCAAGUUUUAGGGCCGUAAAUAAAUAACGAAGUGCCACUCUUCAGUCAGCUCCAAA